rnacentral:lncRNA from 12 species
CAUGAAGCAGCAUUUACAAAGACAGGGAGUCUUCGCUAAUCCUACAGCUGCAUGAGGGAGCCUCGAAGGGGUUAAAGUGGAGGCUUAUACAAACUUUGCUUCUCAGCUUCUCUCUUAUCUCCUCCCUCUUGGGCUGCACACCGCUAAGGCAGAGCUGAGCUGAAUCACUACCUUUCCUGCAUACUCUGUUGCCUGCGAAAGAGGACCUGGGGACUUAAGUGUUCAGACCGCUUGCAUUCAAGUGUUCCAGAUGGUAUAUGCACAUCCAAACAGGCACUCCUCUUGGCUCUUUGGAGUUUUUAAGGAGCAGGCAUCUGAAACUGCACUCUGAAGCUAUAUGCCAGAGAUGUUCCUGAACAAGUUGGCUGACGGUGCAAGCUUCAAAAGGGAUACUUAAAUGGCCAGCCCCAUUCAUCCCAUAAGCCAGGAAAGGUAUGUUAAACAUUGGAGCUAUUUCUCUUAACUUUCCUCAGGAAUAUAAAUCUGUUGAAGAAUCUGAAGAGUCACAUCUUCUGAGCCUAGACAUACUGCUGUCAGCAUCUCUGAGACUUCCUCCUUCUGAAAAUUACCAGGUCUGACUUUGGCUCCAGCCUACGGCGAGGCACAUCAACACACGUCCUCUAGACUUACAGCCCUCAAGCUGUGCCAGCUGGGCAGGAACCUUACCACCUCCAUCCUUAGGGGAAAUUCCGAGCAACACGAAGGGUGAAAACUCAGAUAUGCUGAGCCUGAAAUGUACAAAAGUUUUUAGGAAGUCUCCUCACAGAAGAACCCAGUUAAAUCCACAUAAUUAGCUCGCACACUUAGACGAGCUGUAGGUAGAACAGAGAGCCUUUUUCCCUAUAUCAAAACAGAGUAAAAAAGUCUGAUUUAAUACUCAGAGAUUGUUGUUCCCAUACCAGUAUUAUAAAACAGUUUCACCGUAUUUGUUUUAAUCAGUAUAAGAGUAGAACUGUGGAACAUAAGUUAUCUAUAUAUUAUUUUUUUAAUGAUAAAGAGUUUCUGAUAAAAUCUAUUUAGGACAGGGGUGCUGUGUUGGAGGACAGAGUGUGGCCAUUGCCAAAUUAGAACAUUACCAUUUUCUGGCUUGUGCACUACUGACUUUGUUCGGGUCGUGAUUGCUUUGCAUGAGAUUGUUAGAAUACUUCCAGUAUAUUUAGAGAUAGUCUAAGUGACUGUGGAAUGCCUCGAGGGCAAUAGAAAGCAAACAGAAUCAGGU